UCACAGCCUCUCUUAUUUCUUUCCUUUUCUCUCUCCUCUUUUUCUCCCAAACAUAAGAGCUCUGGAGGCAGCGCAGUUCUCCCCCAUGCCCAUCCCAUUCCAAAGCAUGGCGGAGAGAUCGGAUCUUCCCCUGUGUAGGAAGCUUCCUCGACAUCUGCUUCCCCCGCGACCAAAUCCAUGGCAGACGAGUGGAUCUUGCAAAAAGGAAAGGCCUAGGAUGACUACAGUGUGGUGCCGGUGGCCGGGCAGGGGAGCCCGGCGACGCUGGGGCCGAGGGCGCCGUGGUGCAGAGCGGGUAGGGGGACUGCCUCGGCGACGGGGCGCAGAGCCGGCGGAAGGCGGCGUACGCUGCGUUGGAGUCCAAGGUUAGUUAAAAUCAAACCCACACUAAAAAUCCUUGUUCUUCUGUGCAUGCCAGCUGUAAAUCGAAAGAAAAAAUUCAGGCGCUGGAUAUCAACUAAAUCUCCACUGCAUGACUGAUAACCAUGCAUACCUUGUGUUCGAGAAGCUUCAAGCAAGAAGGACAUAGAUAACCUUGCAUACCAUCUAUUCAAGAUGCUUCAAGCUAGAAGGAUGCAGGGACAUAUGCAUGCAUGGAUAUUUAUUCGCUUUCUUUUGUCCUUGGAAGGAGUUUUGUCAAGUUUUGUUCAUAUGUGUACGUGGAAAUAUCUAGGAGUAAUUAUUUGUUGAUUGUAUAAAUAUUACUUGUCACUAGAUUUGAAAUUACUCCUCGAAAAUUACUCCAUUAGAGGGAAAAAGGAUAAGUACUCCUUUUCUUCCAAACUAAUUCUUAUUCUGAAGACUAA